UACGAAGGGGGCUAGCGUUGCUCGGAAUCACUGGGCGUAAAGCGCACGUAGGCGGAUCUUUAAGUCAGGGGUGAAAUCCCAGGGCUCAACCCUGGAACUGCCUUUGAUACUGGUAAUCUGGAGUUCGGUAGAGGUGAGUGGAAUUCCGAGUGUAGAGGUGAAAUUCGUAGAUAUUCGGAGGAACACCAGAAGCGAAGGCGGCUCACUGGACCGACACUGACGCUGAGGCGCGAAAGCGUGGGGAGCAAACAGG
rnacentral:rRNA from 1 species